rnacentral:rRNA from 1 species
GAUGAACGCUGGCGGCGUGCCUAAUACAUGCAAGUCGAGCGAACGGACGAGAAGCUUGCUUCUCUGAUGUUAGCGGCGGACGGGUGAGUAACACGUGGAUAACCUACCUAUAAGACUGGGAUAACUUCGGGAAACCGGCGCUAAUACCGGAUAAUAUUUUGAACCGCAUGGUUCAAAAGUGAAAGACGGUCUUGCUGUCACUUAUAGAUGGAUCCGCGCUGCAUUAGCUAGUUGGUAAGGUAACGGCUUACCAAGGCAACGAUGCAUAGCCGACCUGAGAGGGUGAUCGGCCACACUGGAACUGAGACACGGUCCAGACUCCUACGGGAGGCAGCAGUAGGGAAUCUUCCGCAGUGGUCGAAAGCCUGACGGAGCAACGCCGCGUGAGUGAUGAAGGUCUUCGGAUCGUAAAACUCUGUUAUUAGGGAAGAACAUAUGUGUAAGUAACUGUGCACAUCUUGACGGUACCUAAUCAGAAAGCCACGGCUAACUACGUG